rnacentral:rRNA from 1 species
AGUGAACGCUGGCGGCAGGCCUAAUACAUGCAAGUCGAACGGCAGCACAGUGGAGCUUGCUCCAUGGGUGGCGAGUGGCGGACGGGUGAGGAAUACAUGGGAAUCUGCCCAGUCGUGGGGGAUAACGUAGGGAAACUUACGCUAAUACCGCAUGCGCCCUUCGGGGGAAAGCCGGGGACCGUAAGGCCUGGCGCGAUUGGAUGAGCCCAUGUCGGAUUAGCUAGUUGGCGGGGUAACGGCCCACCAAGGCGACGAUCCGUAGCUGGUCUGAGAGGAUGAUCAGCCACACUGGAACUGAGACACGGUCCAGACUCCUACGGGAGGCAGCAGUAGGGAAUAUUGGACAAUGGGCGCAAGCCUGAUCCAGCCAUGCCGCGUGAGUGAAGAAGGCCCUCGGGUUGUAAAGCUCUUUUGUCCGGAAAGAAAGCACUGGGUUAAUACCCCGGUGUCCUGACGGUACCGGAGAAUAAGCACCGGCUAACUUCGUGCCAGCAGCCGC